UAUAAAUGGGAGAUCGAUUUCACCAUGAGAGAACAUCUUAUUCUUUGUCAAAUUAAAGCCCCUUAAUUAGCAAACUUUAAUUCAUCAACAAACAAGCAAGGAUGAAGUUGGUGCUUUUCUUCUCGCUCUUGCUCAUCAUGUUUUCAUCGUUUUCCUCAGGGUUUAAGGCGAACAAUGGAGUUACGUCCGUUGAUCAAUAUUCCUCAGACAAGGGUAAUGUAGAGGUUGAAGAGAGUGGUGAGAGUUUGAUGGACUAUCCAGAACCAGGUGCAAACACACCUGGACGGCGUUUUCGUGGACGUCCUCCGCA